UAUAUUGUUAACAUCAAGUAUCUUCAAUGCAUGGCAACAUAAGAUUCCGAGAAAUUCAAACUUCUUGCAGCUGCACCUGACUUUAUCUUCUGUUGGAGAAAAUUUUACAAUAUGCUCAUGGUGCUUACUGUGAACUUUUAAUUUGUACACCAUUUUAGCAUCAAUAUCACCACAGUAGUAUAGGUCACAGUUCAAUGUUUGCAACACUUGUUCCUGAAACACUUUAAAUAUUGCUGGAGUAUAAAUUCUUGUUGCUUGCCUUAAUAUUGUCAAAUCUGCUUUUGGCCAUGGUGUACUUUGUGUUCCCUUCAAUUCAUUGUUCAUGCUCUCACUUCUCUGUGUUCCACUCAUAUCAGCAGAAAAUGUGUUUCUCCCAUACACUAAUGCCCAUUGCACUUUUUUCUGAAAUAGCCUCUCAAGCCAUUUGUUCUCCUGCAG
rnacentral:sRNA from 1 species